GACGAGCGCUGGCGGCGUGCUUAACACAUGCAAGUCGAACGGAAAGGCCCUGCUUUUGUGGGGUGCUCGAGUGGCGAACGGGUGAGUAACACGUGAGUAACCUGCCCUUGACUUUGGGAUAACUUCAGGAAACUGGGGCUAAUACCGGAUAGGAGCUCCUGCUGCAUGGUGGGGGUUGGAAAGUUUCGGCGGUUGGGGAUGGACUCGCGGCUUAUCAGCUUGUUGGUGGGGUAGUGGCUUACCAAGGCUUUGACGGGUAGCCGGCCUGAGAGGGUGACCGGCCACAUUGGGACUGAGAUACGGCCCAGACUCCUACGGGAGGCAGCAGUGGGGAAUAUUGCACAAUGGGCGGAAGCCUGAUGCAGCAACGCCGCGUGCGGGAUGACGGCCUUCGGGUUGUAAACCGCUUUCGCCUGUGACGAAGCGUGAGUGACGGUAAUGGGUAUAGAAGCACCGGCUAACUACGUG
rnacentral:rRNA from 1 species